CCCUUGAGCCCCGAGCAGAUCGAUCUCCCCCGCCGACCAGACCUUCUCACGCCCGAUCGCACGCCCGAUCCACCACUGCUCCCCCUCCCCGGCCGAUCCAACCCGACCGCCGCCGCCCUCUCCCCGCACCCGUACCCAAGGAAUCAGCCGGCGGCCAGAUCCGCCCCUCCACUCACCCAACUCUCCCUCCGCCGCCGUGGACCUCGCAGGGAAGACGCGGACGAGAUCCCAAGCCGCUGCUCCUCCUCUCCCGGGAUGCAGCCGCCGCCGCCGAACCAGGGAGACGCCGGCGACCGUCGCCGCCGUCGUGGAUCACCAUGACGCCGCCGCCUGCACCGCCACCGCCGUGGCGUCGCGGCUGGUGUUGGCGAAUCCAUUGCCAGCGGCGGGGGCUUCCGGCGAGGAGGCGAGCGAGCUUGGGGAGCUCCGGCGGGGGCUUGUCGCCGGUGAAGCGAGGCCAAGGCGGCGGCGCGCGGGCGCGAGGAGGCGGGGUCGAGGAGGCGCAGGAGGACGCCGACCGGUGGGGCUCCGGCGGGGGCUUGGCGAGGGCGGCGGCGGCCGGCGUGCUCGCUUGGGAGGAUGGAGGCUGCCUCACCGGGGCUCGGGCGCGGCAGCACGGCGUCGAGCCGUUGCCGAUGGCGCCGGGGCCGGGGCGGUGGUUUGACGGGCGACGAGGAGGAGGUGCUGUCCUGGAGCCAGCGACGGCGGCUGCAGCUUGACGAUGCCGGCGUCAACAGCUUGCUUCAGGGGCUGCAGGCCGUGAACGGCGUUGUGCUUGCGCGCGAGACCCGUGUCUGUUUUGGAAAGAAUCAAUCCGGUGAAGAAGAAGGCCAAUGCAACUGCUCUCUAGCUAGGCACUGGAGUAUCUGCACCCCCAAUGGAAUGCUACGAAUUGCUGCUGGUACUGAACAUUGACAGUGAAUGGAGGAAUCUAGCAAUGAUCUUUUGGUCUCAUGGAGCUAGCAAUUGAUAGGCCAUAUGGAUGGGGCAAAUGUCGAUGAAUACAACACAGAGAAUAUACCCUUAGCUGACAAUCUUGACCAUAGUUACUCAAUGGGUCCAGACGACAAGGGGGGCAACAACACAUCAGAUUGGUCUAGUGAUGCUUCUUUGCCGGCCCCUAGUAAUCUCACACUGGUUUAUGCCACAGAUGUACCACAAAGUUCAAAUGGUAUUGCACGAUCGGUCUUUCAUAUGAAAUAAUUUGUGCUUACAGGAGCCGGCAUAAACCAGUGUGAGAUUACCAUUUGAGCUUCUGCAUGUGGCCCAUUAAUGUGGUCAAAGCAAGUUCUGUGGUCAGUACUCAAUUUGGUUUCUUAUACUACUUUGAAUUUAAACCAAGACAAUUUGGUCCAUUGUUAGGAAAAGUUAAGGAUUGUGAGCGAGAAAGUGGAGAGAAAAAAGUGUUCUCAUUCUGAAGGCGCCGACAGACCAUGAUACUUGAAGAUAUGGACGUGCCAAAUCUGCGCCGACCUCCUCUACGUGAUAUCUCUAAUGUUGAUCAUCAUUCCAAAUGUCUCCAGUGCCAGGUAAAUGCACAUGAUUGCU